GAUGAACGCUGACGGCGUGCCUAAUACAUGCAAGUCGAGCGAACCACUUCGGUGGUGAGCGGCGAACGGGUGAGUAACACGUAGGUGAUCUGCCCAUCAGACGGGGACAACGACUGGAAACGAUCGCUAAUACCGGAUAGGACGAAAGUUUAAAGGUGCUUCUGGCACCGCUGAUGGAUGAGCCUGCGGCGCAUUAGCUAGUUGGUAGGGUAAAGGCCUACCAAGGCGACGAUGCGUAGCCGACCUGAGAGGGUGAACGGCCACACUGGGACUGAGACACGGCCCAGACUCCUACGGGAGGCAGCAGUAGGGAAUCUUCGGCAAUGGGCGAAAGCCUGACCGAGCAACGCCGCGUGAAUGAUGAAGGCCUUCGGGUUGUAAAAUUCUGUUAUAAGGGAAGAACGACUUUAGUAGGAAAUGGCUAGAGUGUGACGGUACCUUAUGAGAAAGCCACGGCUAACUACGUGCCAGCCGCCGCUGUAACAC
rnacentral:rRNA from 1 species